rnacentral:tRNA from 1 species
AUUUAUAUAGUUUAACAAAAAACAUUAUAUUUUCAAUAUAAAAUUAAUUAUUUAAUUUAUAAAUU